ensembl:lncRNA
GUGGAGGGCACAGCUGGCUGAAGUGUUCCUACAGUGACAGCUUGCCCUCAGCCAGGUCGGCCAGAUUAAUUCAGCGAAGCUAGAAAACCUUCAAGGGCUGGUCAAAUUCUGGAAGUGGGUGCAUGAGUCACCAUCUUAGAGUGGUCAGAGCCGGCGCCCGAGAGCAGCCGUUCUAGAGGGCACCCAGGCGGGUCUUCAGGAGCAAGGCUGGUCCAUAUUCCAACUAGUAGCUGGAGUUUUUGCAAAAACCCUCUCUCCACUCUCCAGGAACUUUUUCUCCCUGGUGUUAUUUUUUUUUUAAUAUAUGUUAUUUUACUUCAUAGGAAUUUGUUUUCCCACCACUGUCAAUUGAAAUCACCUUAAAAGGUGAUUAUCCACUUAUUCCUGAAAUUUCCCCGUCUCCCUCAGCCAACAAAAGCAUAGUCUCAAAAAAAAAAUCAAGUUCAAUAUGUUUUGCCAAAUUAAAUUUUAUGUGGUGGAUCCAUUUUUGUGUCAAAAUAAUCCUUUAGAUUUGUGAUGACAGGCUUAUGUUGGUUUUUUUAACCAUGUCUAUGUAUGAGAGCGAUAUAUUUUUGAGAACUUUAAUUUUGAAAGCCAUAAUUUUUCUUAUCCAGUUUAAGCGUGGGAAGAAGACUACAAAUAUGAGUGGGUCUUUGACUUUUGGCAAACUUCUCCAUUCGUUUUCAGAAGCACAACCAGUAUAUCAACAUCAACACAGCCCAGGGCCCCGCGCCCCAGUCCUCAGAGCACAGUGAAGCAUUCUUGAUUUGAUGGCUUGGGGGUACGUUGGCGAAGACAGAUUCAUUUCUGGUCUCUGAAAAGAACGUCUGCUCCAUAAGCUAUGCCAAAUCUUGACUGAUGCUUUGUCAUCUUAGCCGGUGGGGAAAUCCUGAACGUGAGCGGCACAAGUGAGAGGCAGGGGUUUAUGCCGGGAAAGUCAUUGAUUUUGGUGACUGCCAUUUUUACAGAAUGCCUUUCUCGAAUUAGGAGAGAACAAAAAUUGUCUAAAUCAGCUUGGUACCCUGUGUAUUCAGCUGCCUUUCGUCUUCCACCUCACCUUUCCCUUGCUUUAAUUCAUACGGCAUGCCAAAAGCUAGACUAAACUCCAUCUCAUCUUGCAUUGAGAUGGGGCCCCAUUAAGAUAGUUUUGUCAAGUCGAAGGGGGAAACUGGUCAUGGAGAGAGGGUACCCCAAGCUGCCCUCUGAUCAUGCCGUGACAAUGCCAGUUUCCAUUUCUCCGUCUUCUGACUACUUCAGGGUCUUGGAGCAACGUCUGUCGUUGCCUGAGCUUCUUAAGAACAAGGUUCUUGCUCUUGGGGUCCCCCGCCUCCUCAGUCUCAGUGCAGGGAUGUGUGCUGCCCGACGGCUCUCUGCUGGCUCGUGGCACCCUGUCCAUCAGGCAUGAGGUUACUCCCCAGGUGCUCACCGUGGCUGCGCUGGCCACUGCCUCUCUGCUCCACCCCGCCCUCUCCAGCCAAAGACCAUUCCAGUCCAUUCUAAAGCCUUUUCCCUCAUGGACAAGCCCAGAGGAUGCCACAGGAUGGAGCCAAAUGUGCAAUAGAAUUAACGCCCUCAGGACACCCCUGUGCUUCUGCACUCUGGUCUCUCCACACGGCCCGAUCCCAGAAGGCUGGUAAAUGCCCCUGCUCCCUGGGGGGCAUUUCUCCCUAGUGAGACCAAAUCCUGCGCCAUUUAGUCAAGAUCAUCUAAGUAACCUCACCCGAGGUGUCCAAAGAGGGCCUUGCUCUCUGCUGGCCGGAAGUGCUUGGUGCCAGAAAACGUUUCCCCGAACCCUAGUUUCUGGCUUCCCCUCUAGCUGGGCUUGCCCCAGACACACACGCAGUGAGGGCAACCACUUCACCUCUGGCAGGAGAGCUCGGCGGGCCAUGACGUUUGUGACAUCUGGACAGCACAAUGCAGAGUCGCCUGCUCUGGUCCCCCAACCGCACCCCCAGGUUCUUGCCAACGCUGCACGCCAAACCAAGGUUGUUGAUUGACCCCCACGCUCAGCUGCUUGGUUUUUUAAUUGUGUGCUCUGCAGCUGAAUACCUACGUGUAUGAGUUCACUCUGCAUAUAUAUAUAUUUGAAUAUAUGUAUAACUUGAACCGCAUCAUCACGUGCGUCACUUCUCUCAUCCAUGCUCGCCAUGUCCCCCGUGCUGUGAAGCGGGUCGCCUUGGGUGAUCUGGAGUGGCGCUGUGUGGCACCGCCCUCGGGAGCUGGGGGACGGGAUGGGACUGCCUUGUUUGUCUUGCCGUAGGUGCUGUGGCCCUGGCUUCAGCCGGUCUCUUAAACAGGAGUCUUUAUAGUCAGACCUCCGGUCCUCUGCUGUCCUUGCUGUCGGCCGUGCUGCACGAGAAGGUGGCUGCUUCCGCCCUCUUUCCUACACUGUAAUUAUUGUUUUACAAUUGAGUGCCUUAAUAAUAGUUUACAAAUACUGUGUAUUUAUGGGAAACUGUUAAGCUCUCACCUUCUGUGAUUGGAUACUUUGCCUUGUCGGUGGUGGUUGGCGGUAGGGCUGGCGCUUGUCCUGCCCCAUACUUGACUCAUCUGCUGUGCGGCCUCACGCGUGUGCCCACAACCGCCCCAGGAGCAUCGCUCUCGACAGCGCUGGGAGCUCCUGCGGGCGAGGCGGGCGCUGGCUCCCUCUGCGUCCUGGGGUAGUGAGGAAAGAGCGGAACUGGGUUGGCUAGCCAGCUGGGGGGUGGCGCAGCCCAGCCCCUCACCCGUUCCCCCAUCACACAAUCAUACUCUUGUUUAAUAGACUUUUUAUUACCACGUCGACCACCCUAUUUUCCUCUCUGUUAGUGUCCUGAGCUCUUUGCAACAAAAUGCAGGUACAGACCCCCCCCCCCCAGCCCCGCACCAAAAUCAGGAGCACCCCGGGAUGGGCUGCCCUUUGGUUUUUAGGAGUUGCCAGUGGGUUCCCAGUGUGUUGCAUUACAUCCAUGGGGGUUUUUUUUAUUCUAUUGGUUUUCUUCUUGUUUUUUUUUUUAUAUUAUAUAUUUAAAAGGCAGUAUCUUUUGUACUGUGAAUUUGCAGUAGAAGAUGCAUAAUGCACUUUUUUUUUUUUUACUUCUGUUGGUGUGUACUGUAUAGUCUGUGUGCUUCUUGUGAUGGAAAUAAACUUUUUG